rnacentral:rRNA from 1 species
UGCCAGCAGCCGCGGUAAGACGAACCGUGCGAACGUUGUUCGGAAUCAUUGGGCUUAAAGAGCGCGUAGGCGGUUAGAAUAGUCGGUGGUGAAAUACCUCAGCUCAACUGAGGAAUAGCCCCCGAAACUUUCUAGCUCGAGGGAGGUAGGGGUGCACGGAACUUUCGGUGGAGCGGUGAAAUGCGUUGAUAUCGGAAGGAACACCGGUGGCGAAGGCGGUGCACUGGAUCUCUUCUGACGCUGAGGCGCGAAAGCUAGGGUAGCGAACGGGAUUAGAUA